UCCACAGAGCUGCACGGAUAGCCAAAGCUUCUGCUUUCAGAGGUGAGUCGGCUUCAAUUCUUGCUGCAAAACCAUCCCUGAGGACCCCGUUCUCAUCUCUACAUAGCCCGGCAAUUGAUCCCUCUCUCUGGUUUUCAGUCCACGAAGCGUCGACGUUGAUUUUCAGCUUCUUGCGGUUGCGGAGGCUCGCCUUUGAAGACCAUUGCGUUUCUGAUCUUCCAGAUCUGCCAGAGGGUGCCCUCUACCAGCUCCUUCGGCUGAGGGUUUCUCUCCGAGAUCUGGUGCGUCCAUUCGCAUAGGAGGAAUAGAUGUUCGGGUGUCUCUAGCAUACGGUGGCACAUGGGGCAGCUUGGAUCAGGUAUCAUCUUUCUCCUAUAUAGGUUCUCCUUCGUGGGUAGCGCAUUAGUACAAAGGCUCCAAGUAAAGAACUUGACCUUUGGUUGGGUGUGGAGGUCCCAGAUCAGGUUCCAUAGCUUCUUGGGUUGCUGGUAUGAUGAGGAUGCAUGUGCCGAUGUCUGGUUGUGUGCUGUUUGGAUUUUAUUGUAUCCACUUUUGACUGAGUAGAUGCCGGAUCUGUUGUUGGUCCAUAUGAUUUUGUCUUUGUUUGUUGUGUGACUAA